CCUACGGGUGGCUGCAGUCGAGAAUCAUUCACAAUGGGGGAAACCCUGAUGGUGCGACGCCGCGUGGGGGAAUGAAGGUCUUCGGAUUGUAAACCCCUGUCAUGUGGGAGCAAAUUAAAAAGAUAGUACCACAAGAGGAAGAGACGGCUAACUCUGUGCCAGCAGCCGCGGUAAUACAGAGGUCUCAAGCGUUGUUCGGAAUCACUGGGCGUAAAGCGUGCGUCGGAUGGUUCGUAAGUCGUGUGUGAAAGGCGCGGGCUCAACACGCGGAGGGCACAUGAGACUGCGAGACUAGAGUAAGAGAGAGGUAAGCGGAAUGCUCGGUGUAGCAGUGAAAUGCGUAGAUAUCGAGAAGAACACUCGUGGCGAAGGCGGGUUCCUGGACAUUAACUGACGCUGAGGCACGAAGGCCAGGGGAGCGAAAGGGAUUAGAUACCCCUGUAGUC
rnacentral:rRNA from 1 species